UACGUAGGGUCCGAGCGUUGUCCGGAAUUACUGGGCGUAAAGAGCUCGUAGGUGGUUUGUCGCGUUGUUCGUGAAAACUCACAGCUCAACUGUGGGCGUGCGGCGAUACGGGCAGACUAGAGUACUGCAGGGGAGACUGGAAUUCCUGGUGUAGCGGUGGAAUGCGCAGAUAUCAGGAGGAACACCGGUGGCGAAGGCGGGUCUCUGGCAGUAACUGACGCUGAGGCGCGAAAGCCAGGGAGCAAACAGG
rnacentral:rRNA from 1 species